CGGGGGGCAGCAGUGGGGAAUAUUGGACAAUGGGCGCAAGCCUGAUCCAGCCAUGCCGCGUGAGUGAUGAAGGCCUUAGGGUUGUAAAGCUCUUUUACCUGGGAAGAUAAUGACGGUACCAGGAGAAUAAGCCCCGGCUAACUUCGUGCCAGCAGCCGCGGUAAUACGAAGGGGGCUAGCGUUGUUCGGAUUUACUGGGCGUAAAGCGCACGUAGGCGGAUUUUUAAGUCAGAGGUGAAAUCCCAAGGCUCAACCUUGGAACUGCCUUUGAUACUGGGGAUCUUGAGUCCGGGAGAGGUGAGUGGAACUGCGAGUGUAGAGGUGAAAUUCGUAGAUAUUCGCAAGAACACCAGUGGCGAAGGCGGCUCACUGGCCCGGUACUGACGCUGAGGUGCGAAAGCGUGGGGAGCAAACAGGAUUAGAUACCCUAGU
rnacentral:rRNA from 1 species